UAUUUUUUAACCAAAUUUUUUUCUAACAUUAAUUAUAUUAUUAUCUACCCGUAGAAACUGGAAUUUUAUUUUUCCGACUUGUAAUUAUUUUUAUUUAAUUUUUUCAUUCGAAAAUAUUUUUAAUUACCAAAUAAAUAGAGAAAAAUAUCAAUAUACAUUUUAAAAAUCACGAAAAUUAUGCCAAAUAGUUCCUGUUGAUAUUACAAUAAUUGUUGAAUUUUUUUUUUAUUUUUCUGGUUUGUAAUUAUAUUUUUUAUUAUUUUAAUUCAAAAAAAUACAAUAAAAUAGAUAAUAAAUAGAGAAAAAUAUCGAAAUAUAUUUUAAAAAUCACGAAAGUUAUGCCAAUUAGUUCCUGUUGAUUAUUCAAGUGUUCUUGAAAUUUUAUUUUAUUUUUCUGGUUUUUAUUUAUAUUUUUUUAUUAUUUUAAUUCAAGAAAUACAGUAAAAUAGAUAAUAAAUAGAGAAAAAUAUCAAAAUAUAUUCGAAAAAUCACGAAAAUUAUCCCAUUUGGCUCCUGCUGUAGUUACAUGAAUUUAUGAAAAUUUUAUUUUAUUUUUAUGAUUUUUAAUUACAUUUUUUUAUUAUUUUAAUUCAAAAAAUAGAUAAUAAUUAGAGAAUAUUAAUUCGGGUAUGAGGUUUGAAGAGUGGAAAGGUACUGUGGAUAGUUCUUUUACGAAAUAGUAAUUAUUAUUUAUAUUAUUCGGGUACUUUUAAUAUUUAAUUUCUAUUUAUUCAUUAUUUUAACUAAUAUAUUCGUUAAAAUAGUGAAAAAAACACCAAAGCUGGUUAUUCCCCCGAAAAACAUACCCUUUUUCGGGGGAAUAAUACCCCCCCCCCCCCCCCCCACAAGUGAACGUGACGAUAUCAUCUUCGUAGCAAAAGAUACGUUGAAAACAUUUAUCAUUGUUCAUCGACUUAUUGUUCCCUAACAACAUGCCUUGCCCAAACUAGUCGGUCCCGACGUUUUCGGAGCAAUUCUCGAAAUCUGAGAAAACGGCCCCGACAACCACCGUGCCAAAUUCAAUUUCCUACGCGCUCGUAUUUUUUAUUAUUUUUUUCGGGUCGGAAAAUUUUCGGACUUUCGGCACCGGCCCAGCCAAGGUGCUGGCGACUCUGCCCAAGGUGCUAGCAACCUUGGGCAAAAACUAGUCGGUCCCGACGUUUUCGGAGCAAUUCUCGAAAUCUGAGAAAACGGCCCCGACAACCACCGUGCCAAAUUCAAUUUCCUACGCGCUCGUAUUUUUUAUUAUUUUUUUCGGGUCGGAAAAUUUUCAGACUUUCGGCACCGGCCCAGCCAAGGUGCUGGCGACUCUGCCCAAGGUGCUAGCAACCUUGGGCAAAAACUAGUCGCUCCCGACGUUUUCGGAGCAAUUCUCGAAAUCUGAGAAAACGGCCCCGACAACCACCGUGCCAAAUUCAAUUUCCUACGCGCUCGUAUUUUUUAUUAUUUUUUUCGGGUCGGAAAAUUUUCGGACUUUCGGCACCGGCCCAGCCAAGGUGCUGGCGACUCUGCCCAAGGUGCUAGCAACCUUGGGCAAAAACUAGUCGGUCCCGACGUUUUCGGAGCAAUUCUCGAAAUCUGAGAAAACGGCCCCGACAACCACCGUGCCAAAUUCAAUUUCCUACGCGCUCGUAUUUUUUAUUAUUUUUUUCGGGUCGGAAAAUUUUCGGACUUUCGGCACCGGCCCAGCCAAGGUGCUGGCGACUCUGCCCAAGGUGCUAGCAACCUUGGGCAAAAACUAGUCGCUCCCGACGUUUUCGGAGCAAUUCUCGAAAUCUGAGAAAACGGCCCCGACAACCACCGUGCCAAAUUCAAUUUCCUACGCGCUCGUAUUUUUUAUUAUUUUUUUCGGGUCGGAAAAUUUUCGGACUUUCGGCACCGGCCCAGCCAAGGUGCUGGCGACUCUGCCCAAGGUGCUAGCAACCUUGGGCAAAAACUAGUCGGUCCCGACGUUUUCGGAGCAAUUCUCGAAAUCUGAGAAAACGGCCCCGACAACCACCGUGCCAAAUUCAAUUUCCUACGCGCUCGUAUUUUUUAUUAUUUUUUUCGGGUCGGAAAAUUUUCGGACUUUCGGCACCGGCCCAGCCAAGGUGCUGGCGACUCUGCCCAAGGUGCUAGCAACCUUGGGCAAAAACUAGUCGCUCCCGACGUUUUCGGAGCAAUUCUCGAAAUCUGAGAAAACGGCCCCGACAACCACCGUGCCAAAUUCAAUUUCCUACGCGCUCGUAUUUUUUAUUAUUUUUUUCGGGUCGGAAAAUUUUCGGACUUUCGGCACCGGCCCAGCCAAGGUGCUGGCGACUCUGCCCAAGGUGCUAGCAACCUUGGGCAAAAACUAGUCGGUCCCGACGUUUUCGGAGCAAUUCUCGAAAUCUGAGAAAACGGCCCCGACAACCACCGUGCCAAAUUCAAUUUCCUACGCGCUCGUAUUUUUUAUUAUUUUUUUCGGGUCGAAAUUUUCGGACUUUCGGCACCGGCCCAGCCAAGGUGCUGGCGACUCUGC
rnacentral:lncRNA from 1 species